UACGUAGGGGGCUAGCGUUGUCCGGAUUUAUUGGGCGUAAAGAGCUCGUAGGCGGUCUGUCGCGUCUGGUGUGGAAAUCCAGGGCUUAACCCUGGACCUGCAUCGGGUACGGGCAGACUAGAGUGCGGUAGGGGAGAUCGGAAUUCCUGGUGUAGCGGUGAAAUGCGCAGAUAUCAGGAAGAACACCCGUGGCGAAGGCGGACU
rnacentral:rRNA from 1 species